rnacentral:lncRNA from 1 species
ACUGUCUCUACGAUUUACAAAGAUGCUAGACUCAUAGAGUAUACUCUUAAUUGUUUGCUGAUAGUCACUUGCAAUUUGCAACACGUUUUCAAGUCAUGGGACUCUGAGACAGCUGUAGUCUAAUUUCAAUGCCAGGUUAAGUACCAUAGUGCUAGUCAUGAAUUUCUAAGAAUUUAAAAUGCAAUCCUCUGAUAUUCACUACCUUUGGGACACUUGGUAAGUCUGUUAAUUCUUUUGUUUGUUUAUUUGAGAUGGAGUUGCUUUGUCACCCAGGCUGGAGUGCAGGGGCACACAAUCACAGCUUACUGCAGCCUUGACCUCCCUGGCUCAAGUGAUCCUUCUGCCUUGGGCUCCCAAAGUGCUGAAUUACAGGCAGGAGCCAUUGUUCCCAGCCCGAGUAUAAUUCUUUACACCCAUUUCUCUCCCAUCUAUUCCUCUCUUCCUGCUAUACCGUACAGCUUCCCAAUUAUAAUGUUUUUCUUAGUACCUAACCCAGGGUUUACAAGGCCUUUCUUAAAGCGGAUACUUCAAAGAUACGUUUGAUUGCUUGCUGUGCCAGUCAUUCAUUUAUCGCCUCUCAGCUCCAAAUUCACCCUUGAAUAUCUGUUCUCAGGGUCUAUAUUGAACCCUUGAUGGUUUUUUUUUUCUUUUUGAGAGCAUGUUGUAAAUUUAGCCAGUGGGUGUGGGAGGGAAAUUGCAGGAAGAAGUUAACUUUUCCUGGUUCCUGUGUGUAUUUUCAUUCUUGCUUCUGCUGCCUGGUUAGUCAGUGGUGGAAAGACAUGCAGUGCUCCUCUGCUGGACCAUGCGACCAGUGUGUGUAGUUCCUGGAACUACCUUGUAUCCUUGGCCUGGGCCAGGUGACCCGCUUCCUGCAGGACUCUCGAUGUUGACACUGCAUGCUCCAGGCUUCUAACCUGCAGCAGCUCUCCUACACACUUUGCACAUCUUCCUGCUAGCUGUGACUCCCUUGCACCCUCGAGGAUUAUUUCAAGUUUUUCUAGCCUCUGGUGAUACAGUAAACUUCUCUGCCCUCCAGUGGGCUACAAUAAUAUUUUCUCCAAUUACAUCUGAACCUUGACCUUGAGAAGAGGGCCCUCCUUCCAAGUUCGUCCUUCUUUCGUCUGCUCCCUCUGUUUUAGGGUACACUUCAGUGUUCUCUUUACAUCUUUGUAGCUGCUUUCCUCUCACAACGGAAAAUUCUUCAUUUUAAACAUCUC